UUGAGAUAGAGCACAAUUACAGUCUCGCGAUCCCCAUCCACCCUUUAUGGACGGUUUCAUGAUCAUGUUCCCCACGUGAUAGGCAAUCCAUAACGGAUCCGGUUGGAGUGAAAAAAAUCCAAGUCCGUAGACCCGCGACCCGACCCGACCUGACCCAGAUGGAGAAAAUGUGGGUCAACAUAUUUCAGUCGGCUCGUUGGAAGAUUUUAGCAGUUAUGCAUGAUCACUCCAUGCAACCCCAUGUCCCCAUGUUUUGCUUAAAAAAGUACUAGAUUUGUUCGUGAGUAGUGGUAGGUUAUCACCAGUUUGUUUUAUAUUUUCUAUAUGUAUUUGGUAAAGGACAAUCAAUGAAGGCACUGAGUUUUAGAAUGAAUUUUUUCUUGUGUUAAUUAUCUCAUGUUUGUGGGUUAAUUAAUUCGUCUAUGCUAGCUCAACCGUGGCGCGUUGGGUGGUGAACUUAGACACGAUUCUCUAACCGUAGUGGUGUAUCUGUAUCUUCGGUUAGACGUCGCAGCCCUACCGUUUCGUUUGGUGGUGAAUCUGUAUCCAAACGAGCCGUAGAACUAUCUUAAAUUUUAUUGUUUGUUUUGAACCGGUGAUUCGAGGGUCAUACCCCUAUCACUUGGUAUUAGAGCUCGGCUCGUUUCCAUCUCGCUUCAUCCCGAUUCUCUACUCUGUAAAACACCCAAAAGAAAACCGGUUGCAGGUAUAAUUUUUUUGUUCUGAUCUUCAAAGGGCAGCCUUGGUUAACCACUUCAAAUGGUGGUUCGAAGAAUCCUCAACAGUUCAUUAGAUCACAAAGGAGAAUUUCAACGAGAGACUAUUUUCCAAACUCGAUGCACCGUAGCCGGAAAAGUGUGUACUAUGAUUGUCGAUGGAGGUUGUUGUACCAGCAUCGCUUCCCAAACUUUGGUUUCAAAAUUGAAGCUCGCAACUGUACCGCACCCAUCACCGUACAUUCUUGAGUGGCUCAAUGAGGGAGAAGGUAUUCUAGUCUCCAAUCGGGUCUUAUUAACAUUCAGUAUUGGUAACAUAUAUGUAGAUGAGAUUUGGUGUGAUGUAUUGCCCAUGGAUGUUUGUCAUGUGUUAUUAGGCAGGCCUUGGCUAUUUGAUAGAAGGGUAAUACAUGACGGGUUCAAGAACACAUACUCGUUUGUUCAUAACAAUCGAAAAAUUACCCUCACGCCAAUAACUCCCGCCAGAUCAGCCUUAAACGAAUUUCAACCUAUUAAAGAGCAGGUAGCAAUAACCGAUGAUGAUUGUGAUAAUGGCACGCCCAGGGAAGAUGGCUCAAAUAUUGAAUUUUUGGU
rnacentral:lncRNA from 1 species